rnacentral:miRNA from 1 species
UGGGGUGGCCAUCCAUCAGGGUUUGCCUGGGACUGAGGAGUUUUCCAGGAUGUGUCAGCUGC